rnacentral:rRNA from 1 species
UCGCCUGUUUAUCAAAAACAUAUCUGUAUGAAGAUAUAUAGAGUCUAGCCUGCCCACUGAACUAAUUAAAGGGCCGCGGUAUUCUGACCGUGCGAAGGUAGCAUAAUCAAUAACCUUUUAAUUGGAGGUCUGUAUGAAUGGUUGGACGAGAAAUGAACUGUUUCUUAUUUAAAGUUUAAAUUUAACUUUUGAGUGAAAAGGCUCAAAUUUUAUAAAAAGACGAUAAGACCCUAUAAAUCUUUAUGUUUAAAGAAAUUAAAGUAAUUUAUGAGUGAAACUCUUUUUAUUUUAAAUAACAUURUGUUGGGGCGACAUAAAUAUUUAAUUAACUGUUUAAAAAAAUAUACAAAUAUAUUUGAUUUGGUGGCGUGAGAUCCUUAUUAUAGAUUGCAAGAUUAAGUUACUUUAGGGAUAACAGCGUUAUUUUAUUUAAGAGUCCGUAUCGAAAAUAAAGUUUGCGACCUCGAUGUUGAAUUAAAAUUUCUUUGUGGUGCAGCAGCUACAAUAGAGAGUCUGUUCGACUUUUAAAAUUUUACAUGAUUUGAGUUCAGACCGGCGUGAGCCAGGUUGGUUUCUAUCU